UACGUAGGGGGCGAGCGUUGUCCGGAUUUAUUGGGCGGAAAGAGCGUGUAGGCGGCCAGGUAGGUCUGCUGUGAAAACUCGAGGCUCAACCUCGAGACGUCGGCGGAAACCAUCUGGCUAGAGUCCGGAAGAGGAGAGUGGAAUUCCUGGUGUAGCGGUGAAAUGCGCAGAUAUCAGGAAGAACACCCGUGGCGAAGGCGGCUCUCUGGGACGGUACUGACGCUGAGACGCGAAAGCGUGGGGAGCGAACAGG
rnacentral:rRNA from 1 species